CAUUCAGCCUCUCUGCACACACACACACACACACACACACACACACACACAUUCAGCCUCUCUGCACACACACACAUUCAUCCUCUCUGCACACACACACAUUCAGCCUCUCUGCACACACACACACACACACACACACACAUUCAUCCUCUCUGCACACACACACAUUCAGCCUCUCUGCACACACACACACACACACACACAUUCAGCCUCUCUGCACACACACACAUUCAUCCUCUCUGCACACACACACAUUCAGCCUCUCUGCACACACACACACACACACACACACACAUUCAUCCUCUCUGCACACACACACACGGGGAUAGUGAAGCUGCUCCUGCUGAAUUCUUAAUGAGUGUUUAAGUCACAUUAACUGUCUCUCUCUCUGCACACACACACACUCUUUUGUUUACUUCUGUCACUGAGGACUCUGAGGGACUGUAACCUGAGGGUCCUCAUUGUUUGCACACACACACACACACACACACACACACACACACACACUGUACCCGUGUUCACACCAUGUUGUUGACAUUAACACUCUUCACCUGAAUGAAUCAUGAAGGAUGUUUUCCGAUAUAUACGGCUAGAUUCUAUUUUAUUAUUAACUUUUUUUAAAGUCUACAUUUUGUACCUGCUGUGUAACGAUGUAAUUUAAGCACCAGAUUAAAAAACGGUUUGUGUCAGGUGAUCGGAGGUUUUCAUCGGACACGUCACAGAGUCCUGUACUCAAAUGUCUGCUUCAUGUUCUGCAAGAUUAAAGCAGCUUUUCUCACAAAGUGA